CGAAAUAGCCCCUCAUAGACUCGAGUCAUACAUUAUAAAUCCCUGUUCCCGCCACAUAUACAGAGUCACUCUUUCCACUUCUAGGCUCGGUGUACUUGCUCCUCAGCCGUUCAAACUGACAUUUCCCGACUCCGUCUCUUCAGUUUAUAGGGCAGUAGGGCUCGCAAGGAAGGAGGACACCGUAGACCCGUGCAAUGGGAGAUUCUAGGGUUUUCUCCGAUUACAAUCCCACAGCAACACGAUCCGGAGCGGGUACCGUUUCUAGGAUCCGAUUAGAGAACUUCAUGUGCCAUAGCAACCUCCAAAUCGAGCUCUGCCCCUGGGUCAAUUUCAUUACCGGUCAAAAUGGGAGCGGCAAAAGUGCAAUACUGACUGCUUUGUGUAUUGCAUUCGGAAGCAGAGCCAAAGGGACUCAGAGGGCAUCUACUUUGAAGGAUUUUAUCAAAACUGGUUGCAGUUAUGCUGUUGUUGAAGUGGAAGUGAAAAAUCAAGGAGAGGAUGCUUUCAAGCAUGAAGUCUAUGGUGAUGCCAUUAUUAUAGAGCGCAGAAUUAAUCAAUCUACAAGCUCCACAGUUCUAAAGGAUUUCCAAGGUAGAAAGGUUGCUAGUCGAAAAGAGGAACUUCGGGAGCUCAUUGAACAUUUUAAUAUUGAUGUUGAGAAUCCUUGUGUGAUAAUGAGUCAAGACAAAAGCAGAGAGUUUUUGCAUUCUGGAAAUGACAAAGAUAAAUUCAAGUUUUUUUUCAAGGCGACUCUUCUGCAGCAAGUUAAUGAUCUGUUACAAAGUAUAUAUGAACAACUGAGGUCUGCAAAUGCACUCGUUGAUGAAUUGGAGGCUACAAUAAAACCCAUAGAAAAGGAACUCAGUGAGUUGCAAGUGAAAAUAAAAAACAUGGAACAUAUAGAAGAAAUAUCUCAGCAGGUACAACAAUUAAAAAAGAAGCUUGCUUGGUCCUGGGUUUAUUAUGUUGAUAAGCAACUUGAAGAUCAAAGUUUGAAGAUUGGAAAGCUUAAAGAUCGAAUACCCGCUUGCCAAGAGAAAAUUGAGCAGAAACUAGGAAAGGUGGAGUCAUUGAGGGACCUCUUCACAAAAAAGAAGGCACAAAUUGCACACAUGAUGCAGAAGACGUCAGAAGUGAGGAGAAAGCAGGAUGAUUUGCGACAUUCUAUUUCCUCGGCAACAAAACAGAAACUUGAGCUAGAAGAGCAGCAUGGCCGUGAAACCAAGCGCAUUCAGAGCAUACUGAAGCGUGCAAGCUCGCUUCAACAAGAAGUCCAGGAUAUUCAGGAACAACAUGUUAAAAAUACUCAGGCUGAGGAAUCUGAAAUAGAGGAGAAGUUAAAGGAACUCCAGUACAAGGUUGAUGAUGCUAAUUCCACACUAUUAAGGUUAAAGGAAGAUGAAAGGGUCUUAUCAGAAAGUGUGUCCAAGGGAAUGAAUGAAAUCAGAAAGAUAAGCGAAGAGAUUCAAAAUUAUGAAAAAGAGGAACGUGAGAUUCGUGGAACCAUUCAACAGCUCCGGCAACACAAAACUAACAAGGUUACAGCCUUUGGGGGAGAUAAGGUGAUUCAUCUUCUUCAUAUUAUUGAAAGAUUUCACCAUAAGUUCAAUAAGCCGCCUAUAGGUCCAAUUGGUGCCCACCUGACACUGGUCAAUGGUGAUACAUGGGCUCCUGCUGUUGAAAAUGCCAUUGGGAGGUUGCUCAAUGCUUUUAUUGUGACAAACCAUAGGGAUAUGAAUCUUUUGAGAGAUUGUGCAAGAGAGGCAAAAUAUAAUAACCUUCAAAUUAUCAUAUAUGACUUCUCAAGACCAAGGUUGAACAUACCGUCUAGCAUGCUUCCCCAAACAAAUAACCCAACUGCACUUUCUGUUAUACAUUCUGAAAAUGAUACUGUGUUAAAUGUGUUGGUGGAUAUGGGCAGUGCUGAGAGGUUAGUGCUUGUAGAAAAUUACGAUUUGGGGAAAGCUGUUGCUUUUGACAAGAAGAUCCCACAUCUAAAGGAGGUUUACACCUUAGAUGGAUAUAAAAUGUUUUCUCGUGGGUCAGUCCAGACAGUUCUUCCUCCGAAUAAGAAAUUUAGAACAGGCCGUCUGUGUAGCUCUUAUGAUCAUCAAAUUAAGAAUCUUGAACAACGUAUAUCAGAUUUUAAAAUGAAUGCUGAGGAAUGCAGGAAAAGGAAAAGGGCUAGGGAGGCAAAUCUUCAGGAUCUUGAAGGUGAUCUGAAGAAUGCAAAGGAGAGAUGCUUGGUCGCUGAGCGGGCUCUGGCCACUAAGACACUAGCACUAAGAGAUUUGAAAAAGUCAUACGUUACUGAAAGGAGUUCACCAGCUGCAUCAACUGUUGACGAGCUUCAUCAAGAAAUUUCAAAACUCCAUGAGGAGAUACAAGAAAGAAAAAAUUUUCUGGAGACGCUUCGAGUCAGAAGGGAUGAAGCUGAGGCAAAGGCUCUGGACCUCAAGUUAUCAUUUGAGAAUUUAUGUGAGUCAGCAAAAGAAGAACUUGAUGCAUUUGAAGAAGCAGAGGGUGAGCUAAUGAAGAUUGAAAAAGAUUUACAAGCUGCAGAAGCGGAGAAGGCCCAUUAUGAAAAUAUAAUGACUAACAAGGUCCUUCCUGAUAUCAAAGCGGCAGAGGCACAUUAUCAAGAGCUUGAAGAGAACCGAAAGGAGAGUUCCAGAAAGGCUUCUAUUAUCUGUCCUGAAACUGAUAUUGAAGCUUUAGGAGGUUGGGAUGGGAGCACCCCAGAGCAACUCAGUGCCAAAUUAUAUAGAUUGAGUCAGAGACUACAGCAUGAGAGCCAGUUGUACUCUGACUCUAUUGAUGACCUGAGAAUGUUGUAUGAGAAAAAACAGCGUAAAAUAUUAAGAAAACAACAAAUGUACCAAGGGUUUCGAGAAAAGUUGAAGGCUUGUCAGGAAGCCCUAGAUUUGCGUCGGAACAAGUUUCAGAGGAACAGUGCUCUUCUGAAGCGGCAGCUGACUUGGAAUUUUAAUGGUCAUUUAGGAAAGAAAGGGAUUAGCGGGAAUAUCAAAGUUGAUUAUGAAGGAAAAGCCCUUAGAGUAGAGGUAAAGAUGCCCCAAGAUGCAUCAAGCAGCACCGUCCACGACACUAGAGGGCUUUCAGGUGGUGAACGCUCUUUUUCAACGCUGUGCUUUGCAUUAGCUCUUCAUGAGAUGACAGAAUCUCCAUUCCGAGCAAUGGAUGAGUUUGAUGUAUUUAUGGUAAGUAUUGCAUAUAUUUGAAUGUGUAUUCAUGAGUUUGCUGUAUUAAUGGCAAGUUAUCGCAUAUAUUUGAAUGUGCAUUAAGGGUUUGCUAAAAGGUGGCCUGGUGUUUGAAUUCUUACUGCUGGGUGUGAAAUUCCUAAUUUACACACUAUGAUAGGGUACAGAGGAUGCAUUAUGUCCCUUUCAAAAUAUUAUCUCUUUGAGGAUGCAGUUCCCGAUAAAUUUGAUUUCUUGCUUGCACGGAUGUCCAGGAUGCAGUUAGCCGGAAGAUAAGCUUAGAUACUUUAGUGGACUUUGCAUUGGCACAAGGAUCCCAAUGGAUAUUUAUCACCCCUCAUGAUAUCAGUAUGGUAAAACAUGGGGAGAGGAUAAAGAAGCAGCAACUAGCAGCUCCUCGUUCUUGAUUGUUCCAAUGCAAGAUCUACUUCCGAAUUAUACAAGUUAAAAUGCUGUUCUCAUUGUGCUUGGCUGGUAAGAUUUUAUGUAUUGUUACAGGCAUCAUUUAUUCAAAAUCAGGCUAUCCUCUUAAUUUAUUUUUAUGUUAGUAUGGGCUAUGUUGCUCAUCAUCUAAAAGCUGCUGAUUAGUUAUUUCUCCUUUUUCACUUUGUACUGAACAAUUCAAGUACAUUCUGUAGAUGAUUGGAUUCAUCACUUUAGACUACAUUUGGAAGGGUAUAGUCAAAUAUUUCACUGUAUUAGAAUGGAAUAUUUGACUAUAUUACAUUCCAUUAUGCCUUACCAAACAUAGCCUAAGUUGAAAUUUUAGAAUGUGUAAAACCCAUGUAUGGAAAAUGCUGACUCAUUGUAGUAGUACGUAGAACAUAAUUGAAGUAAACAAAACAUUUGAAGCAUGGCACAGAAGUUCGGUAAAUUUACAUCCCUAUGAACAUGAUGUGAUUGUUUCUAUAACUCAGGCAUGCCAAUGUGCUUCUCUAUGACCGCACAUUUUGUUGUGCUUUGUAUCUUCUCGUGCUAACUGAAGUGAGAAGGCAACUUGGAAUUACUGAGCAGGUGUAUUAACUGCCAUAUGUUCCGCGUGUGUCACUCUGUUUCAGUUGCAUCAUUUAUGAAAACAGAGCCUAGCCAUCAAUUAUAGGUUUCCCACCUCGUCAUAUUUGUUUCUUUAUUUGGUGCCCGCUCGUGGAUUCCGUUACCUUAAUUUUUGGGUCAAACCUUUAUUAAAAAUAUUUGCCUACUGGAGAACAAUAUCCAAUUGCAACAAGGUGAAAUCAUCUAAUUAGUUUUCUUUUUCUUUUUAGGUCUUUGAAUGUUAACAGGUGGGAGGAGUACUAGUUUGGCAUUAUGGCUCAAUUGUUGUUAUUGUUGUUAAAGGGUGGGAGGGUAGUUGAAUGGUAUAUUUUUUUAUAUCUUUCUACACUUGUAUGGAUUCAUUUAAAAAAUAAAUUUGUGCUAAAGGUUAGGGCUGAUGGAUCUAGUGUAUAAGUUAGAUCCGAACGUGGUUGAAUCCGUUGCCUUGCCUCCAUUUAUUGACAUGUCCCAUAUUUGUUGGGCAAGAAAUGGGCACUGAUCUUUCCAUGGGUGAUGAGUUCUUCCUUAUUAUAUAGGAUGCUGGCCGUGUUUUGAAUUUCCCGAAGAAUUCCAGCUAAGAUUAGUGUGGGAAUCUCGUCUUGUAUUGUUCACUAGUUCCAAUGCAUCACUUUUUUAGAUCACAUUAACUUUGAAAGACAUUAUUGUACCAUGACAUGCCCAGGACACCUUAAAUCUGUACGUUCAUUUAUUUGAAUAUUGUAUGUGGAAAUGGUUCAUAUCAAUCUAUAAAUAUUCGUUAAU
rnacentral:misc_RNA from 1 species